rnacentral:siRNA from 1 species
UAAUGGUCAACUAAUCUGUGGA